GCUGGCCGAAGAUUCUAAAAUUCGCUCUAUCUUCCGGUUAGCCUCUCUUCCACGCUCGGAGCUCUCCCUAUUUUUUUGCUUCUCAGAAAACCAGAUAGGAACGAUGCAAAGACUGUGCUCGGUGAGAUCGUUUAUGGGUGCAGUGUCCAGAAAAGGGGCACACCGCGCUGUUUUUUCAACUUCUCUACUCUUCGAAGAUACCCAGAUGCAGUUUAAAGAAAGUGUUGCACAAUUUGCCCAAGAAAAUAUUGCUCCUCGUGCAUCAAAGAUAGACAGAACAAAUUAUUUCCCAGAGGAGAUUAAUUUGUGGAAGCUAAUGGGUGACUUUAAUCUCCAUGGAAUUACUGCUCCGGAGGAAUAUGGAGGACUUGGCCUUGGUUAUUUAUACCACUGCAUAGCCAUGGAAGAAAUUAGUCGUGCUUCAGGAUCUGUUGGCCUGUCCUAUGGUGCCCACUCUAACCUAUGUAUUAAUCAGUUGGUGAGAAAUGGAACUCCCGCUCAGAAGGAGAAAUACUUGCCAAAGUUAAUUACUGGGGAGCAUGUUGGAGCUCUUGCAAUGAGUGAACCAAAUGCUGGCUCUGAUGUUGUUAGCAUGAAAUGUAAAGCUGACCAUGUUGAUGGAGGUUAUCUUUUAAAUGGGAACAAGAUGUGGUGCACUAAUGGUCCAAUUGCUCAGACACUGGUUGUUUAUGCAAAAACAGAUGUUUCUGCUGGCUCCAAAGGAAUCACUGCAUUUAUCAUCGAGAAAGGAAUGCCAGGAUUCAGUACUGCCCAGAAAUUAGACAAACUUGGGAUGCGAGGAAGUGAUACAUGUGAGCUUGUAUUUGAAAAUUGCUUUGUUCCUGAAGAAAAUGUUCUUGGGAAAGAAGGAAAAGGAGUUUAUGUUAUGAUGUCGGGGCUAGAUUUGGAGAGGCUAGUUUUAUCUGGUGGACCCCUUGGAAUAAUGCAAGCAUGUCUUGAUGUUGUUGUUCCUUAUGUACGGCAGCGGGAACAGUUUGGGCGCCCAAUUGGUGAAUUCCAGUUUAUGCAGGGGAAAAUUGCUGACAUGUAUACUGCUCUGCAGUCUUCCAGAUCUUAUGUGUAUUCUGUUGCAAGGGACUGUGACAGUGGAAGAGUUGACCCAAAGGUUCGGGAUCUGUUGGAACUGGUAUUUCAGCAAACUGUGUUGAUGAGAGGAUUCUAAGAUGGAUUAAUAGUGAAACCAAGGGGCAGGGGUUGCUAACGAAUGAAAUUGUGAGAUGAUGCAGCCAUUUAAUUCUGUAAGAUGAGAAAAAAUAUCCAAGAUGGUUUGAACUUGCAGAAUGAAGAUUAACAAGUGCUCUGGAUUGUUCUGGAGUUAUACUUACUGCAGCUGAAAGAGCCACCCAAGUUGCCCUUCAGGCUAUCCAGUGUCUAGGCGGCAACGGAUACGUAAACGAGUACCCGACGGGUCGUCUUCUACGGGACGCCAAAUUAUACGAGAUCGGAGCUGG